rnacentral:tRNA from 1 species
GGAGAGUUGUCCGAGUGGCCGAAGGAGACGGUCUUGAAAACCGUUAUACCCGCAAGGGUAUCAAGGGUUCGAAUCCCUUACUCUCCGCAA